rnacentral:rRNA from 1 species
AUUGAACGCUGGCGGCAGGCCUAACACAUGCAAGUCGAACGAGUGGCGGACGGGUGAGUAAUGUCUGGGAAACUGCCUGAUGGAGGGGGAUAACUACUGGAAACGGUAGCUAAUACCGCAUACCAUCAGAUGUGCCCAGAUGGGAUUGGCUUGUUGGUGGGGUAACGGCUCACCAAGGCGACGAUCCCUAGCUGGUCUGAGAGGAUGACCAGCAACACUGAAACGGAGACCGGGUCCAGACUCCUACGGGAGGCACCAUUAGGGAAUUUUGCACAUUGGGCGCAAUCCUGAGGCAGACAUGCCGCGUGUAUGUAGAAGGCCUUCGGGUUGUAAAGUGCUUUCAGCGGGAAGGCGUUACCCGCAGAAGAAGCACCGGCUAACUCCGGGCCAGCAGCCGCGGUAAUAC